rnacentral:rRNA from 1 species
UACGGAGGGUGCAAACGUUGCUCGGAAUCAUUGGGCGUAAAGCGCACGUAGGCGGUCUGUUAUGUCGGAUGUGAAAGCCCUUGGCUCAACUGAGGAAGUGCAUCCGAAACUGGCAGGCUAGAGUACGAAAGAGGAUCGCGGAAUUCCAGGUGUAGCGGUGAAAUGCGUAGAUAUCGGGAGGAACACCUGUGGCGAAAGCGGCGCACUGGACCACAACUGACGCUGAGGCGCGAAAGCUAGGGGAGCAAACAGG